ensembl:lncRNA
AAAAGAUCCGGUUCGAAGAGUCGACUCGUUCGCGAGCGACACAAAGAACAGACAAUAUGGCGGACAGGCUAACGCAGCUCCAGGAUGCAGUCAACUCCAAUGAACCCAUAUAGAAGGUAGGGCUGGGCAAUAUGAUGAUGAUGAGGAAAUAUCGAUAUAGUGAUGAAUCGUGUCACGUCUCUAAGAUAUCAAAUGAACAUAAAUUGAGCAAACCCCUGCAGAAUUCGGAGCUUGGGAUUGUUUUCCGAAAUUACCGCAGAUUUUGGACCAAAACACAUCGUGCGACGUCAUCACGACGCGCAUUCAGCCAAAGCCCUGCGUCGAACAUGAGUAUGGCGGAAAGGUCUCGUUUACCGACAAACAUCACUUGAAGCUUCAAGAAGUUUUCAGCACAAAAAAAUUCACGACACAACGAUGACGCAAAUAAAUUCUGCGAAUCCUGUACAGACUGAAAACGCUACUGUUUUUCUUGCAGGUUACCCAACCUGAAUAUCCUGAUACAUAUCGCGUAUCAUAAUAAAAUGUCUUUAAGCGCCAUGAUAUCCGAUUCUGUCAUAUCGCCCGGCCGUUUCUGUGGGUUUAGGCUGUUUGGUAUUGAACUGGCAAAUCAAGCUAUACAUACAAUAGCAACAUAAUACAAAACAAAAAAUACAUUGUUGUUUUUGUGUGAUCUCAAUCCCAGAACGCUGAGUAAUUUGUUUUCCAUUGUUAAAGUUGUUUGUUACAUAUUAAGGAAUCUUAAAGCUAUGGAACAGCUGUUGGAUGAUUUAAGCUUGUACUGUUGUGAACGCCUGGGUUGUAGUUGGCCGAUCAGUUCUGUAACGCCAUCGGAGUGCUGCAGCAGUGCGCCCCGCCCGCUUCCUUCAGCAACAUCCAGACCGUCAUCAACAAGGAUCAGCCGUCAAACCCCACGGAAGAGUACGCACAGCUUUUCGCGGCACUGAUUGCAAGAACGGCUAAAGAUGUCGAUGUCUUGAUUGACUCUCUGCCCAGCGAAGAAUCCACUGCUGCUCUACAGGCCGCUAGUCUGAGGCAGCUAGAGGAGGAGAACCAUGAAGCAGCGGCUCGGCUGGAAGAGGUGGUGUACAGAGGAGAUUUACUGCUGGAGAAGAUACAGAGCGCUCUGGCCGAUAUUGCACAAUCGCAGCUACGCACACGCAGUGGUACGUCCAGCCAACCUGCGGCCCCUGAACCCUGACCUCCAGCAUUAUAUAAUGGACAACAUAUCAUGUACACAGUAGGGACGUUUCGAUCCCGUGUUCAUUUGUGCUCCUUGAGAUCAGCCUGUACAGUUAGUCACCGAUGCCGAGAGUUUCUGAUCCCUGUAUGAUAACCAUCACAUGGAUUAAUAUUGAGCGUGAACUUUGAAUAGUCUGAGGUGUUAAUGUUCACCAAAUUAAAAAAACAAACAAACAAAGUUCAAGACUCUGGAAUUUUUCCUUUUAUGUAACACAGUGCGAGUGAGUUUUUCCUAUUUUGUAUAAUCUACAACUGUUCUAAAAGGAACAUUAAAAAUGUAAAUGCACUUUUUUUUUUUUUUUUUGCAUUAAAAAUGUUUAUGAAAUGCUACUGAAAUGUGAUUGGCUGAUGGCAGAGCAUGUUCUUGGAGUAGUCCAGUCAUGAUAAACCUGGUACGCCCGGGAACGCCGUGGGGGAAGAAACA